rnacentral:rRNA from 1 species
ACUACUCCCCUAUAGCUGUAGAGUGCUCGUCGCGCGGAUGAUGCGGAGCUUGCUCCCUGAAGUUAGCGGCGGACGGGUGAGUAACACGUGGGUAACCUGCCUGUAAGACUGGGAUAACUCCGGGAAACCGGGGCUAAUACCGGAUGGUUGUCUGAACCGCAUGGUUCAGACAUAAAAGGUGGCUUCGGCUACCACUUACAGAUGGACCCGCGGCGCAUUAGCUAGUUGGUGAGGUAACGGCUCACCAAGGCGACGAUGCGUACCCGACCUGAGAGGGUGAUCGGCCACACUGGGACUGAGACCCGGCCCAGACUCCUACGGGAGGCAGCAGUAGGGAAUCUUCCGCAAUGGACGAAAGUCUGACGGAGCAACGCCGCGUGAGUGAUGAAGGUUUUCGGAUCAUAUAGCUCUGUUGUUAGGGUAGAACAAGCGCCGUUCG